rnacentral:rRNA from 1 species
ACUCAAUAGAUACCCCGGUAGUCCCAGCCCUAAACGAUGGAUACUAGGUGUCGGGGGUAUCGACCCCUCCGGUGCCGCCGCUAAACGCAGUAAAGUAUCCCGCCUGGGGAGUACGGCCGCAAGGUUGAAGCUCAAAGGAGUUGACGGGGGCCCGCACAAGCGGUGGAGCAUGUUGUUUAAUACGUCACUAACCGUAGAACCUUACCAGGGUUUGACAUGGCGUGAAAUCCUAUGAAAGUAGGCUUCCCCGCAAGGGGACACGCACACAGGUGUUGCAUGGCUGUCGUCAGCUCGUGUCGUGAGAUGUUGGGUUAAGUCCCGCAACGAGCGCAACCCUCAUCCCAUGUUGCCAGCGAGUAAAGUCGGGAACUCUUGGGAAACUGCCGGGGUAACUCGGAGGAAGGUGAGGACGACGUCAAGUCAGCAUGGCCCUUACACCCUGGGCUACAAACAUGCUACAAUGGACGGUAAACAGAGGGAUCCGAGACCGUGAGGUGGAGGCAAUCUCAGAAAUCCGUUCUCAGUUCGGAUUGCAGGCUGCAACUCGCCUGC